AUUGAACGCUGGCGGCAGGCCUAACACAUGCAAGUCGAGCGGAGCGGCGGACGGGUGAGUAAUGCCUAGGCAUCUGCCUGGUAGUGGGGGAUAUCGUCCGGUAUCGGGCGCUAAUACCGCAUACUAUCAGAUGAGCCUAGGUCGGAUUAGCUAGUUGGUGGGGUAAAGGACUACCAAGGCGACGAUCCGUAACUGGUCUGAGAGGAUGAUCAGUCACACGGGAACGUAGACACGGUCCAGACGCCUACGGGAGGCAGCAGGGGGGAAUAUUGGACAAUGGGCGAAAGCCUGAUCCAGCCAUGCCGCGUGUGUGAAGAAGGUCUUCGGAUUGUAAAGCACUUGAAGUUGGGAGGCGUUACCAACAGAAUAAGCACCGGCUAACUUCGUGCCAGCAGCCGCGGUAAUUC
rnacentral:rRNA from 1 species